UCUGCUGUGAAAGCCCGGGGCUUAACCCCGGGUUUGCAGUGGGUACGGGCAGACUAGAGUGCAGUAGGGGAGACUGGAAUUCCUGGUGUAGCGGUGAAAUGCGCAGAUAUCAGGAGGAACACCAAUGGCGAAGGCAGGUCUCUGGGCUGUAACUGACGCUGAGAAGCGAAAGCAUGGGGAGCGAACAGGAUUAGAUACCCUGGUAGUCCAUGCCGUAAACGUUGGGCACUAGGUGUGGGGAACAUUCCACGUUUUCCGCGCCGUAGCUAACGCAUUAAGUGCCCCGCCUGGGGAGUACGGCCGCAAGGCUAAAACUCAAAGAAAUUGACGGGGGCCCGCACAAGCGGCGGAGCAUGCGGAUUAAUUCGAUGCAACGCGAAGAACCUUACCAAGGCUUGACAUAUACUAGACCGCCUCAGAGAUGGGGUUUCCCUUCGGGGCUGGUAUACAGGUGGUGCAUGGUUGUCGUCAGCUCGUGUCGUGAGAUGUUGGGUUAAGUCCCGCAACGAGCGCAACCCUCGUUCUAUGUUGCCAGCACGUAAUGGUGGGGACUCAUAGGAGACUGCCGGGGUUAACUCGGAGGAAGGUGGGGAUGACGUCAAAUCAUCAUGCCCCUUAUGUCUUGGGCUUCACGCAUGCUACAAUGGCCGGUACAAAGGGUUGCGAUACUGUGAGGUUGAGCUAAUCCCAAAAAGCCGGUCUCAGUUCGGAUUGGGGUCUGCAACUCGACCCCAUGAAGUCGGAGUCGCUAGUAAUCGCAGAUCAGCAACGCUGCGGUGAAUACGUUCCCGGGCCUUGUACACACCGCCCGUCAAGUCACGAAAGUUGGUAACACCCGAAGCCGA
rnacentral:rRNA from 1 species